GUGAGGGGGUGACUAGUGACAGAGUGAGGGGGUGACUGGUGACCGAGUGAGGGAGGGGGUGACUAGUGACAGAGUAAGGGACGGAGGGGGUGACUAGUGACAGAAGGAGGGGGGAGUAGUGACAGAGUGAGGGAGGUGGUGACUAGUGACAGAGUGAGGGAGGUGGUGACUAGUGACAGUCACCACCUCCCUCACUCUGUCACUAGUCACCCCUUCCUUCCCUCACUCUGCCACUAGUCACCCCCUCACUCUGUCACUGGUCACCCCCUCCCUCUCUCUGUCACUAAUCACCACCUCCCCUCCCUCUCUCUGUCACUAGUCACCCCCUCCCUCCCUCUCUCUGUCACUAGUCACACCCUCCCUCAC